CCUACGGGUCGCACCAGUGGGGAAUAGUGGACAAUGGGCGAAAGCCUGAUCCAGCAAUGCCGCGUGUGUGAAGAAGGUCUUCGGAUUGUAAAGCACUUUCGACGGGGACGAUGAUGACGGUACCCGUAGAAGAAGCCCCGGCUAACCUCGGGCCAGCAGCCGCGGUAAUACGAAGGGGGCUAGCGUUGCUCGGAAUGACUGGGCGUAAAGGGCGCGUAGGCGGUUUAUGCAGUCAGAUGUGAAAUCCCCGGGCUUAACCUGGGAACUGCAUUUGAGACGCAUAGACUAGAGGUCGAGAGAGGGUUGUAGAAUUCCCAGUGUAGAGGUGAAAUUCGUAGAUAUUGGGAAGAACACUGGUGGCGAAGGCGGCAACCUGGCUCGAUACUGACGCUGAGGCGCGAAGGCGCGGGGAGCAAACAGGAUUAGAUACCCGUGUAGUC
rnacentral:rRNA from 1 species